AUGGGAGGAGUUUUAUCAUCUGUGUUUGGAAGUGGAGAAGAUGCAGUUGCUACAGGGACUGAAUCUGAGCCAAGUCGCCUCAUCAAGUUUAGCUCUUCAGCUCGGUGGCAGCUUCAUUAUAACGAGACCAAAGAAUCGAACAAACUGCUGGUGGUUGAUUUCUCGGCUUCGUGGUGUGGACCAUGUAGAAUGAUUGAGCCUACGAUUCAUGCCAUGGCUGAUAAGUUCACUGAUGUUGAUUUCGUCAAGUUAGAUGUCGAUGAACUUCCUGAUGUGGCUAAAGAGUUUAAUGUGACGGCAAUGCCAACCUUUGUGCUGGUGAAAAGGGGUAAAGAGGUUGAAAGGAUCAUUGGAGCCAAAAAGGACGAACUUGAGAGGAAAGUUAGCAAACUCAGGGCAUAGUGACCAUUAUUAACACCUUCGCCAAUAACCCCAUUAUUUGUAAACUCAAUAAUAAAUGGUAUGUUGUGGGGGUGGGGGGAGGGAGUUGUUCUAUACUUUCCGCUUCUGCAAGACUUUCUGUGUGAUGCCGCGAUUGAUUAAGAUGGUCUUCAAGCUUACCCUUUAUUCAAUGACCAUUCCACUAAAAGUGUAACGAAUGAUAUCAAGUUGUAAAACCAAAAUGACACCAUCCCGACGUGAUGUGAUUCCUUCCUAAAGCAAAGCUACACCGUUCAACGUUGCGUAUGCGUAUGCAUGCAUGCGUAUACACCCUGGAGCUUUUGCAUUUAUGAACAGACAUGCAUUAAGGAAACUGACUCUGAGAUCUAAUGAUGAUAUUCUUUCUUUCCUUGUUCUGUCUUGGCAGGAACUUGCUCCAGUUCCACCUGUGAAUGUCAGUCAAGAACUGCAUCAUGACCCUGGUCCUGUUGGAGAUGUAACUUCGGUAAUCUUAAAAUAGUUUACUCCUCCUUUAUGAUCUGCUGGAAUAUGUAUGCCUGAGUUUCAUUUGCAAGUAUUCUAAGAUUGUUUGAUUGUGAAAUUUUAGAAGGAACUUGCUCAAGUUCCAUCUGUGAAUGUCAUACCAGAACAGCAUCACGCCACGACUCUUGCUGGAGAUGCAUCUUUGGUAUUCUCAGAGAGAUUUUGUUUCUUUAAAAAUUGUAAAACAAAUCCACGACUCUUGCUGGAGGGUUCUCUAGAUCAGGAGGAGGUUCUGGAUUCUUGUCUUUCUUUGGUUUCUGGUUUUGCUGGACAGGUGGAGGGUGGGAAUGAACUGCCGGAGGGUCAGCAACAUGUGGUGGCUAAACUGAAGGAGAUGGGCUCUGUAAAACCCAAUGAGCUUGGCUUUUACCCUCACAGUUUUACAGAUAAUUGCUACUAGAGAAAGUACUAAACUAUUCUUUAUAAUCAUAAUCAGUUAUCAGGACAACUGCUAGCCGCUUACGGAUAUGGAGCUCCAGAAUUCGACUCUGGAAUCUAUACAUGGCAGAGUGAUGUAUACAUUUUUGCUGUUGUUAUGUUAGAGCUCUUGAUGGGUAGAAUGUCCUACGAUAGGGACCGAAGUAGAGGAGAGCAGUUCUUAGUGAGGUGGGCAAUCCCUCAGCUUCACGAUAUAGAUGCAUUGGGCAAAAUGGUUGAUCCAUCUCUUAAUGGACAAUACCCUGCAAAGUCAUUGUCACACUUUGCUGAUAUAAUUUUCCGGUGUGUUCAUGUAAAAGCACAUACUGACAAUUAGAAACUGGAAUGAGAUGGUUGUGAUUGUGUUUGCUUGACCAAAAAUGUUUUUUUUUCUUUUCUUCUUUUCUAGUCUGAACCAGAAUUCAGACCAUUGAUGUCUGAAGUUGUUCAAGAUCUACUAGAUAUGAUCAGAAGAGAGCGCCAUGGUUCAGGCGAACCUAGUGCAGACUAGGGAUUUGUAAAGAAGCAUUUGUUAUCGGAUCAUCUCUGUGAAUUCGUGGAAACAAGAGAUGUUCAGUUUUCAGAAACAACAACAACAUAGGGAACUAAACCAGACACAUAAAAAAGAGUCAAAGGCCUCAAGAGGAGGCUUAAGCUGAUUAUACAGCCAAGAAGAGGCUUAUUUCAUGUGAAUUAACUCAAGCAAAAGGAUCAAUGUGCUUGCUUCCAAUCAGCGAUUAUUCAAUUGGUGGGGAGUUUCUUUUUGUGAAUCUUGAAUCAUCUGUGUUAGUAAUAUUUGUUCGUUGAAGACCUCAACUGUAAACUGGUGUGUGUUACUCUGAUUCUUUGAACUUGUUUUACUUAAAAGCUCAUAGAUCUUACUCUGUAUUGUAUUCUUUUAACGACUGAGCUAA